rnacentral:lncRNA from 1 species
GCCGGGAGGAUGGCUAAGCUGCUUCUGGCUUUCUGCUGCCUUGUGCCAAUAAAGGAAGGGCCUCCCUGAUGGUGCUCCUGGCCUUCAAAGCAAUCUCAUACUGAAAGCUGGUGCUUCAGUUACAUGCACUCAAAGGAGAAGAAUCUACUUUGAAUGGAAAGCUCCCGGGUAUUCCCACACCUUCUUUGUUUGUCUAAGGCCAUGGCUCUGCAGAGCUGCAAUAAACCUGCGUACCCACCCUGCAGAAGGACUGGGCCACAGCUAGCUUGUAAAACAAAACUAAGUCACCAAAUUUAUUUCCUUUAACACAGUCUCUUAGCAGAACCUUUCUAUGCUGACUGUGGCCUUGGCUCAAGCAACAGCAAUUGCAGCUCCUGCUGGUUCUACUAAGGAGAGCUUCGCUCUUGUGACCAGGCUGGAGUACAAUGGCAC